rnacentral:tRNA from 1 species
AAAAUUUUAAGUUAAUUAUAAACUUUAAGAUUUCAAAUUUUAAUAUAAAAUGUAUUUUUAAAUUUUA